rnacentral:lncRNA from 10 species
CUCAGCUCCAUUCAGUGGAAAACAACAGUUGUACCUAGGGACUCAUGGUACGUAAGGGGUCAGAAGGAAAAGUCUAGGCAACCACUCUUCACUCCAGACCUUUGAGUAAGACAUCCCAAGAGAGACGGUGAAAAGAAACAUGGCUCCUUUGCCCCCCAAAAUAAAAUUAGGCUGGUGAUGCUUGAUUUCUCUGGAUUUAUUUCUAUAUGGUUUACUUAGGAUUGCAGUUCUUCACUGACAGAUCUGAGGAUCACACCAACAGCAUUUAACUCUGAUUCCUGCCUUCUGCUAUGCUGAGCUUCCUCUACACAGAAGCAACAUUCUUCUCUUCAAUCAAAUAUUGAAUGAUCCAGCAAACACUUUGAAUAUUUCAUAUGUAUUUAAUACUAAUGAAUAAUAACCCAAUGCAACAUUUUUUAGCCAUUUUCUUGUAGGGAGGAAAGUGAUCUUAAACAGGUCACAGCAAUGUAAUAUGAUAUUUACAUCCAAUUAUUGAGGAAAUGUGAUGAAGGAAGAAUAUACGUCUAUUGCACACAAUUAGGGAUGGCUUCUUGAACACAAAUUUGAAGUGAAUCUUCAAGGAAAUAAUGGAAAGAAACAGAAUAAAUGCUUUCUAAGUAGGGAAACAGCAUACUAGAUGAAGCUGCAGUGCAUGACAUCCAAAGAGGAGAUGGAUCUGGUUGGAUAAUAGUAACAAAUAUGUUUGAAAGUAUUUUGGGCCAGACGUGGUGGAUUAUGCCUGUAAUCCCAACAGUUUGGGAGGCAGAGGUGGGGGAUCACUUGAGCCAAGGAAUUCAAGACCAGCCUAGGCAAUAUGGCAAGACCCUGACUCUCUAAAACAAAAUUGGCACGGUGUGAGCCCAGAGGUCGAGGCUGCAGUGAACCAUGCAGUGUGCCACUACACUCCAGCCUGAGUGAAAUAGCAAGACUAUAUCAAACACACAAAAAGGAAAAAAUAUAAGAAACAAAAAAAUAAGAAAGAAAAGAAGGACAUAUUGAGAUAUUAGGGGUGGUAGAGGGGUCGUAGUGGUGGGAUUUUAAAAUUAGGAUAUUUCUGUGUUACCAGGACAUUCUUUGCCAUUUCUGUUUUCUACUUUCAAAUUUUGCAUCCAGUCUUUGUCAAAUAGUAAUUUUAACAUGUUGCUUUAUAUGUAUGGUAAAACUUUUUUUGCAUCAUUAUUUGUAUGUCUUGCCUUCUCUACUGAUCUGAAUCAUUAUUCAGCAAAGAUUCUCAUUGUCUUUAUUUCCCUUAGAGAAUAUAUUUAGCACAGUCCCUCAAGUAGGGGCUCUACAAAUUUUUCCUGAAUGAAGGAGUCUCCUACUGAACUCUACCAAUAAAAACAUCAUAGCCUCUUGC